UACGUAGGGUGCGAGCGUUAAUCGGAUUUACUGGGCGUAAAGCGUGCGCAGGCGGUUUGUUAAGCGAGAUGUGAAAGCCCCGGGCUCAACCUGGGAACGGCAUCCGGAACUGUCAAGCUAGAGUGCAGGAGAGGAAGGUAGAAUUCCCGGUGUAGCGGUGAAAUGCGUAGAGAUCGGGAGGAAUACCAGUGGCGAAGGCGGCCUUCUGGACUGACACUGACACUGAGGUGCGAAAGCGUGGGUAGCAAACAGG
rnacentral:rRNA from 1 species